GAGUUUGAUCCUGGCUCAGGAUGAACGCUGGCGGCGUGCCUAAUACAUGCAAGUCGAGCGAACAGAUAAGGAGCUUGCUCCUUUGACGUUAGCGGCGGACGGGUGAGUAACACGUGGGUAACCUACCUAUAAGACUGGAAUAACUCCGGGAAACCGGGGCUAAUGCCGGAUAAUAUUUAGAACCGCAUGGUUCUAAAGUGAAAGAUGGUUUUGCUAUCACUUAUAGAUGGACCCGCGCCGUAUUAGCUAGUUGGUGGGGUAAUGGCUUACCAAGGCAACGAUACGUAGCCGACCUGAGAGGGUGAUCGGCCACACUGGAACUGAGACACGGUCCAGACUCCUACGGGAGGCAGCAGUAGGGAAUCUUCCGCAAUGGGCGAAAGCCUGACGGAGCAACGCCGCGUGAGUGAUGAAGGUCUUCGGAUCGUAAAACUCUGAUAUUAGGGAAGAACAAAUGUGUAAGUAACUGUGCACGUCUUGACGGUACCUAAUCAGAAAGCCACGGCUAACU
rnacentral:rRNA from 1 species